CCCUUAGAUGUUCUGGGCCGCACGCGCGCUACACUGACACGUUCAUCAAGUCUAUAACCUUGACCGAGAGGUCUGGGUAAUCUUUUAAAAACGUGUCGUGCUGGGGAUAGAUUAUUGCAAUUAUUAAUCUUCAACGAGGAAUUCCUAGUAAACGCAAGUCAUCAACUUGCAUUGAUUACGUCCCUGCCCUUUGCACACACCGCCCGUCGCUACUACCGAUUGAAUGAUUUAGUGAGUACCAGGGACCGAGCGCUUUGGUUGGGUUUCCUUCCCUAGCGCUUGGGAACUGUCGCAAACUUGACCAUUUAGAGGAAGUAAAAGUCGUAACA
rnacentral:rRNA from 1 species